GCGCGCAGGGAGACCAUGGCCUGAAUGCUUAAGGAUGGAUGCAUGAGGUCAUCCAUGGGAGACCUUUUUGUACUCCCCAUCCUAACUGAUGUGAUAGAAAAGCCAGAAGACGGUUAAACCCUAGCAGAUUGGAUGGGUACAGUAAAAUGUUGGAAAGAAAAAAAGUUUUAAAUGGAAAUGAUCUGCCAGGUAGUGUUCUGUCCCCACAGGAUUCAGCCAUUAAGCCAGGCGACCAGAUCCUGAUAAAGGUCGUUAAAAGAAAGAACUGGUCCCAUCCCCGGUGGAAAGGCCCCCACGCUGCCCUACUCACCACGCCCACUGCAGCAAGAUAGGUGAAUGUGCCACGUGGAUCCACCAGAGUGACUACAAAAGAGUCAUUCCCCUGGUCGGCACUUGUAAUAGGAAAAAUAGUUUCUUCCUUAUUCUAUGCGGUAGUCACAUGAUUAAUGACUUGUGUUCUGCAAUUAAUAUCUUCUGUUUUAUGUAUUUGACAUUUCAUCUAGAUUGUUCAAUGCUUGUCUCUGCCUGAUAGACUCUGGACUCUGGCUCCCAAACCCAAGGCCAGGAGUUGUGUCUCUCUGUUGAGACUUAGCGCUCCUUCCUCCCUGAUAGUAGGAUGCCAGUGAUGCAGAUGUGAGAAUGUAAACAUCUCCACACACACGGCGACAGGGAUGAGAUAGUGCAUGCAAUUUGAAUGGGCUACACAGACAUUCCACCCUAGUCAGACAGAGGGAUUAAAAGGCAGAUGCAACUUGAGGAUUUUAGGCUCUUUGCAUCACACCUUUGUGGUGUGUGCACUGAUCUCCCCAGCUGUUUUUUGGUUUGUUGGUGUGCACAAUUAACAUCCAUAAUUUGGAUUUGCUUUUCCCUUUAUUUUUAUAAUAAAUCACACAAAAGACAACUAUUUCAUCUGUUUGUUUAUGGGAAAUUUGGUCACAGAACAGUAUUCGCUGCAGGUCGUCUGGACAGUGUGACCAGGGAGGACAGUCCUGAGGACUAGGGUCGCUCAGCCUCCAAACACUCUACAGACAUUCAGAAUACUCUCAAAAUCAAAAUACUUUGGGAAAGACUCUGUUGCCAGACCUGGUUGGUUCCCUUUUUACAGAGACGUCUGAUAAAAGGGAAUUCUGGGAAUGUUCCUGUCGGAACACAAAAAAAAUCUAAGGCAAGAACCUGCCGAACUUGGUUUGAGACAAUGUGAGUCUUCACCACCAGACAGCAACCUUACAAAAUUCAUGAUGAGUAAAUACUGUAUGGUUAUUAGUGCGUUUCAUAUUUCCAUGUGUGGGAAACUGGUUAUGGUUUUCAAAAGGAGAAUUGCUUAAUGGUUGGAAACAAUCUAACGCUACUGUUCAACAGGACGAAGCAGAUUGUUGAGACAUCAAUUGUAACCAUGCUGUGUUAGACUUCAUUUUAUGUUACUCUGAUUAUUACCUUGAUUAUAUGAUGUUUCCAUGUAACUUUACACACUACAUAUGAAGAAGAAAAUUUCACAACACUUCAAAUAUUCUCAAGGUUACUUGAUGUUUAAUUAGCUCACAAUCACUUUACUCACUGCGACACUUUAGUUUUUAUCCUUCAUUUACAAAUUGCUGUGGGGAAAAAAAUACCAUGAGAGCUUCUGAUGACUCAAUGAAAAGAAUUCAAAAAGUUGUCUUUGUGAAUUUAUUCCUGCAUAUGCGUAUAGGGAAAAGAAAAAUAAAAUCAAAAGGUGACAGAAAACAAAGGCACCCAGGUGGAGAAGACAAGUUGAUGCUCACACAAGGUGCUCACCAAUGUUCUCUGAAAUCUUCACCUCCCGUCCCAAGUUUUAAAGCUUACAGAUAGCACAAACACCUCCCACAACAUUCUUUAGACACACAUGCUCAAUUUCAGGAAAAAUAUUACACGUCCAUCAAUAGUAUUUAGACGGUUGUCUAAAUAAGGAAGGCCUCACUCAAGGAGCAUUUUGUUCCUUAUCUAAGUGAAACACUACGUCACAGGGUCAUCAAGUCAGACACUGUCUCACAGGGUGAUCAAAUCAUAACUGGGCUUCCUGCAAAAGAGAACUGAGGAGCCCGCCCACGUUCAGAAGCUUGCAGCAAAAUACUUGAAUAAUGUAUAUAAUGUUUAAGGAUGUGAAUGAUCAACAUUUAAGAAUAUGAAUGUGAAUCAGAACCACUCAGAUGAUUAUAAAGGCAUUAAUAAUAAAAAUGAUCAACAUUAAUAGAUAAUAUAAAAUUUCCAUCACAAGAUGAUAGAGGUUAUAGGACAACACAAGCAGCAAUAUGCAUCAUUAUUCUGGUUAAUCCCUGAUUCUCCUAUUCACUCUAGACCCAGAUGUACAAUUCAAGAUCCAAAAGCAUGAAUCUUGAUGAGUUAAUACACUUGAUGCUUUAUUUGCAAGGGGGCUUUUUUUAUUUUGAAAUGCUAUGUUUGACAAUUUUUAUUCUUUUAGUGUUGAUUAAUGUGUAAUCAAAAGGGGGGUAAUGUAAUGGGAAAAAUUGUGGGAAUCUUAAAACCGGACCAGGAGGUGGUUGACGACACUGGUUAAGGACUGGAUAUGGAAAGACCUUGAAGCUGAGCAUGUUACAGACUACUGUGAUUAGCUACAUGUUAUUACAGAUUUUUGACCCCACAUGUCACUCACAAGGCUGAUUUAUUGUUUCUUACUUAUUGCCAUUAUGAAGGAUAUAUCUGUUCAAUGUUUUAAUCCUGUCAGUAACAGGAACAUGUUAAACUUUGCUGAAGCUGCACCCUGCACACAGAUAUAGAAACAGGAAGUGGCUUGGGCCUGCUGACUUAUUUAGAGUAAGCUGGAAAGGCCAGGGAAGGUUAGCAGUUUUAGGGUUGAACAGGAGCCUGUUUCAAGAAGGAGGUUUCACAAACUCUGAGUUUAAACUUAACUCUGAGUUGACUUACACUGAGUUUGCAAACCUGGAGUUAUCGGUUUCAGAACAGCUGAGAAGAGUUUGUUUAAGCGAGUUGACUGACUCAGAGUUAAGCGCGUGCACCACGACUAUAAAAAGCCCUGAUCAAUGGAGUGAAGAUAUAACAAGUCACCAUGGCAACAGGACAACAAAAGACGUCCGGAAAUGGAUAUGAUACUUCAAGCAAAUAGCGACUACGAGCCUAUAUUUAGUAGAAAAAGCAACAUGGCUGCAGCGGCGAAAGAGAAAGAAUUAGCUUGGAAGAAAAUAGCUCCUCGAGUCAAUGCCCAACAGAAAGAAGGCAGAGGCAAGAACAACUGGUGGAGGACCUGCACCUCCACCACUGACGCAUGCAGAGGAGAAGGCCCUCAGCCUGAACACUGGAAAGCAGAGGCUGAAGGAAUUCCUGGAGGGAGUUCAUCAGAACCAGUCACAGGAUACAAGUGCAUUUGUAAAAUAUUCUGCUGGUAAUAUGUGAAUCCUCCUGUCACAACAGAAGCCCAGGAUGUUAGUGUGGAAAAACAGCAGGAGGAGGGUCCGUCACAUUCUGCUGCACAGAUGCACACAGUUCAGUGAUGUUCAGUAAAUGCCAGAGUUCAAUUCUGUAAGAGUAAUAAGGAACUAUGUCAUGUAACUCUAAAUCUUCUGUAUGUCCAGUCACUGGUUAAGGAGUUGUAUAAAUCUCAAGGAAAUGUUACUUGGACCGCCAGAUUGAAAAGACAGAUCUAGAAAUUGAAAUUCUCAAACAAAAGCUGGAGGUGAGUGUUUAGUUAAAGAUGAAUUGUAUGAAUUAUUGGAAGAACCAUAAAAUCUAACAAUUGCCUCUGUAUUUGUAGGAAAUGAAGGAAACCAAAUAAAUUAUGAUUUGCAUUUAUUCAGUUCCUUUCAUUGGUGGUGGUGAUGGUUGAUUAGAACACACUGUCCAUCCACUCUGCAGAUUACAAUGAUGGAAGGAGUCUUCCUCAGGGUCUUGUAUUUGUAGGGCAAUAAUUGCAAUAUUGUGGAGAACAACACAUGUUACUCUCAUUUCAGGGUUAACAAACUUCAACGACAUCUCCUUCUUGAAACGGGCCCCAGUUCAUAAUGCUUUACGCCUAUGAUUGUGCAAACCAAUCAAGUGUUUUUCCUUAUAUGGAAUUUUCUUGUCUGCAGUGGUGUAUGGUGCUUUCCUGUUUUAUUUUGUACAUAUCCGGUUUCUGUCACACCAUGUUUAGGUCCGCUCUUUCAGUCACAUUUCCCUCCAACAGUCAUCGAUCUAUAAAUAGUCCUAGUAUUUAGCCAUCAGUACUCACCUCAGUCAUCUCAAGCAUCUCUUGUUACCGAAGUCGUUGUUGUUGACUGUACUGUAGCCUUACCUGAUUACUCCGUUGCCUACCUGCCUGCCUCUGUGACUCUGUUUUGCUUGCUCCCUUGUGCCGCCGCCGAUCUGCCUCUGUACCAAACCUCGCCUGUAUCCUGACUAUAAGUGUCUAUUAAAUCCUUACCUUUUACCUGUCUGGGUCCUGUGCUGUGCAUGUGGGUUCGUCAGCUUAGAAACCACCACCGUGACGUUCUGUAGGUGACAGUGGUGGGAUUUGUAUUUAAAGUCCGAUGUAUAUAUUGUGAAUAGAAAAGGGGAGAGCACAGUCCCCUGAGGUGCCCCCGUGCUGCAGACUACCACAUCAGACACACAGUCCCUCACAAACUGUGGCCUGUCUGUGAGGUAGUUGAUGGUCCAAGCAGCCAGAUGUUUGCCAACGCCUGCCACCUCCAGCUUCCUCCUCAGCAGUGAUGGCUAGAUGGUGUUGAAAGCACUGGAGAAUUUAAAAAACAUGACCCUCACAGGAGACUCCAGGUGAGACAGGUAGAUGAUGGCAUCAUUCACCCUGAUGCCUGGUCGAUAGGCAAACUGCAGCAGGUCCAGUGCUGAGCUCACCUGGGAACGGAGGUGACUUAGGAAGGUGACAGGUCUGAAGUGGUUCAGCUCCUUAGGUCGGGCUACUAUUAGAACUACAACCAGGUAGGAAGUCCUCCAGGGUACUGGUACUCUCUCCAGGUUGAGGCUCAGGUUGAAUAUGGAGAGUUUCUUUUUUUCACUUUGUUUUUAUUUAUAUUUUGAAACAAAAACAACAACAGAAAAUAAUAUAACAAGGUAUCUGGAUAAUGUGCUACAUAUGUCAAUUGCCACUACUAUCAAUCAAUUUGAGUGCUAAAGUCACGUUGUCUGCUCUAUUGUAUAUCUUGUUCAUUGAUAUGAUAUUGAUAUUUUUUGUUCAUUUGUGUUUGUUGGAGUCUCACAACACCGGUCAGCCUUUCCAUAAGGUAGAUCUUCUCAACUGUCUGCUUCCACUUAUUUCUUUAAUAUACUCAAAUUUGACAGCAUUCGAUACCAAGAUAGCUACAACCCUUCUGUUUCUCUUAUUUUAUGAACUAUAGUUUACAUUGCUAAACCCAAUUCUUUUUUGUUUCUGGUGUUUACUCUGAUAGAGAUGAGUUUCUUAUAAAAAGGAGAUCUGUAUCUUUUCCCUUCUUAUUUUCGCUAUUACUCUUGCUUUUUUAAUUGGUAAAUUUAGGCUGUUUUCAUUGAGAGACAUUAUUUUGAACUAUAUGAACUAUUAGAACGUGAACAUGGUUUGGUUUCCACAUGGGAGACAUGCUUUUUCUCCCAUUUCCCCUGCUGGUGGGUGAAGGGCUGGUCAAUUGGUUAUUGACGUCCCUCCCUAGAGCCCAGCUCUACUGCUUGGCUGUCUAGUAAAGUCCGUGUUUUGCUAGUGCGAGUUUGUUCCGGUGCCCAGCCUUGCCCCGGACCUCCACCUGUUGUUACCCACAGUUUGUACCCUGCAGCAUAGUUUAGUUUGUUUUCUCAUCCAUGCCUGCAGUUAAAAUGUGUUUUAACUGCAGGCUGUCAGCUUUAAUUUGAAGGUAUUUACAUCCAAAUCCGGUGAAUGGUGUAGGAAUUACAGCCGUUUGCAUAUGUGCCUUGCACUUGUUGGGGGAUCAAAAGUAAUGGGACAAUAUAAUAAU